GAUGAACGCUGGCGGCGUGCCUAAUACAUGCAAGUCGAGCGAACGGACGAGAAGCUUGCUUCUCUGAUGUUAGCGGCGGACGGGUGAGUAACACGUGUAUCACCUCCCUAUAAGACUGGGAUAACUUCGGGAAACCGGAGCUAAUCCCGGAUGAUCUUUUGAACCGCAUGGUUCAAAAGUGAAAGACGGUCUUGCUGUCACUUAUCGCUGCAUCCGCGCUGCAUUAGCUAGUUGGUAAGUUAACGGCUUACCAAGGCAACGAUGCAUAGCCGACCUGAGAGGGUGAUCGGCCACACUGGAACUGAGCCACGGUCCAGACUCCUAAGGGAGGCAGCAGUAGGGAAUCGUCCGCAAUGGGCGAAAGCCUGACGGAGCAACGCCGCGUGAGUGAUGAAGGUCUUCGGAUCGUAAAACUCUGUUAUUAGGGAAGAACAUAUGUGUAAGUAACUGUGCACAUCGUGACGGUACCUAAUCAGAAAGCCACGGCUAACUACGUG
rnacentral:rRNA from 1 species